AUGCAGAUAAUAUAUGAUGUGCACUACUUGUUUUCUUUUGCAGGAUUUUGGGAAUUUAAGGAUGUGGAGAUCCAGUGUCAUGAAGACGGUGAACCUGUUGUGAAAGUUGUUAUGUCUGAGCAUUGCAACAAGAGUGGGAUAUUUUGGGCUACUCUACAAAAGUCUUGCGUUGCAAUUAUGGCGUUGAUUGACUGGGAAUGGAGCCGGCCAGGGAGUGUAUAUGAUAUUUUCUGCUCAUAUGGCACAGACUCAGCGUGGAAAUAUUUUGUUGAAUCUUUAAGAUCAAAAACUGAUGAUAUUGGAAGGAACAUUCACCGCAAACACUUGCUGGUCAUGGCAGAUUGCUUGUCUGUAAGUGGGCAGUUACAUGGACUAAGCAGUCAAGGUUUAAAGCAACAGCGGACUCGAUUAGCAAUCUCAUCU
rnacentral:rRNA from 1 species